CGUUUGGUUGGUGGUAAUGGGCCAGAAAGGAAUGGAAUGGAAUACUAAUGGGCCUGAUUAUUUUGUUUGGUUGAAAAAUAACAAUUUUGGAAUAGAAUUCCAUAGUAAUGCUAUUCCUCCAAACUAAUGGAAUUGCUAUUCCAUUUUUUAUUUGGUGGAAUUAUAAUUCCAUUCCAGCAUAUAUCUCUCCUCCAUGGCCCAAGCCCAACAAACCCUAACCCUAGAAAACUGAAGAUUAACCAUUGUGACCAUCUUCUUCCUCUUCUUCGAUCGAUCGGACUCUGCAAGUGCCGGGGUAGCGUUGCCAGAGUGUCCCAGAUGAUGAGAAGGAUGAAUGGGCGAGACUUCUGAUUGAUGGCUCUCUUUAGUACACAGCUCGGGAAAGAGUUAGAAAGAUCAUGGUUAUUCACUUUGGUCUAAAAUAAUUUGCAGGACAAUAUAUAUUGCCUUUGACAUUCAGUAGUAUACAAAUUAUAAUCUUUUGGAUUUGGUGUAAUGUGUUAUGCUCAUAAUUUUGCAAACAAUUAUUUUGAGCAUAAAUAUGGGUAUUGGACAUGAAUACUUAUACUUUUGAACAAGUUUUUAUGUGAUUA